UGAUUCAGAGCUACAACUUUCAAGUUGGCAAGAAACUACUGGCGAUUUCCCAGAAGCAAGCGGCAACUCCAGAUUUUACAGGACACCAGAUGGCAGACUUGCUCUUUCAUGCUCAAUGAGUUUGAGGCCUCAUUUGUCUACCUUCUCACAUGGCCAGGAGACUACUUGUGUCAAUCCCUCUGCUUCCCACCAUACUUCAUGCUACUCUACUCUGAUCCCAAAGAAAAGAGAUGAGAGGGGAUCAGGACUAAGAAAAAGGACACCGCCUCCCAGUGCCACACUGCACAAUGUUGGAUAAGUGAUGAUGGACUAGGUUACACUGGAAUACUGGAAGACAAG